GUGCCAGCAGCCGCGGUAAUACGUAGGACGCAAACGUUGUCCGGAUUUACUGGGUGUAAAGGGUGCUCAGGCGGUCUCGUAAGUCAGUGGUGAAAUCCCGGAGCUCAACUCCGGAACUGCCUCUGAUACUGCGGGGCUUGAGUGCAGAAGAGGCGGAUGGAAUUUCUGGUGUAGCAGUGAAAUGCGUAGAUAUCAGAAAGAACACCAGUGGCGAAGGCGGUCCGCUGGUCUGUCACUGACGCUAAAGCACGAAAGCGUGGGGAGCAAACAGGAUUAGAUACCCUGGUAGUCCUAGCCCUAAACCAUCAGGACUUGGCGUGGGCCCCGUCCGGGGUCCGUGUCGUAGCCAACGUGAUAAGUCCUGCGCCUGGGGAGUACGGUCGCAAGGCUGAAACUCAAAUGAAUUGGCGG
rnacentral:rRNA from 1 species